CCUACGGGGGGCAGCAGUCGGGAAUCUUGCGCAAUGGGCGAAAGCCUGACGCAGCAACACCGUGUGAGCGAUGAAGGCUUUCGGGUCGUAAAGCUCUGUUGUUGGGGACGAAGGGCAAAGGGUUAAUAGCCCCUAGCUUGACGGUACCCUUCGAGGAAGCCCCGGCUAACUACGUGCCAGCAGCCGCGGUAAUACGUAGGGGGCGAGCGUUGUCCGGAAUUAUUGGGCGUAAAGAGCGUGUAGGCGGUUCGGUAAGUCUGCCGUGAAAACCUGGGGCUCAACCCCGGGCGUGCGGUGGAUACUGCCGGGCUAGAGGGUGGUAGAGGCGAGUGGAAUUCCCGGUGUAGCGGUGAAAUGCGCAGAUAUCGGGAGGAACACCAGUAGCGAAGGCGGCUCGCUGGGCCAUUCCUGACGCUGAGACGCGAAAGCUAGGGGAGCGA
rnacentral:rRNA from 1 species